rnacentral:rRNA from 1 species
AGAGUUUGAUCCUGGCUCAGGACGAACGCUGGCGGCAUGCCUAAUACAUGCAAGUCGAACGGAUCUCUUCGGAGAUUAGUGGCGGACGGGUGAGUAACGCGGAUUAGUGGCGGACGGGUGAGUAACGCGUGGGCAACCUGCCCCAAAGAUCGGGAUAACACUUCGAAAGGAGUGCUAAUACCGGGUGUGAUCUAGAAUUCGCAUGGAUUUUAGAAGAAAGGCUUCGGCCACUUUGGGAUGGGCCCGCGUCUGAUUAGCUAGUUGGUGGGGUAAAGGCCUACCAAGGCGACGAUCAGUAGCCGACCUGAGAGGGUGAACGGCCACACUGGGACUGAGACACGGCCCAGACUCCUACGGGAGGCAGCAGUCGGGAAUAUUGGGCAAUGGGCGAAAGCCUGACCCAGCAAUGCCGCGUGAGUGAUGAAGGUCUUCGGAUUGUAAAACUCUGUCUUUGGGGAAGAAAAAUCUCUGUCUUUGGGGACGAACAAGGUGACGGUACCCAAGGAGGAAGCCCCGGCUAACUACGUGCCAGCAGCCGCGGUAAUACGUAGGGGGCGAGCGUUGUCCGGAAUUACUGGGCGUAAAGGGCGCGUAGGCGGAUUUUUAAGUCUGGUGUGAAAGAUCAGGGCUCAACCCUGAGAGUGCAUCGGAAACUGGGGAUCUUGAGGACAGGAGAGGAAAGUGGAAUUCCACGUGUAGCGGUGAAAUGCGUAGAUAUGUGGAGGAACACCAGUGGCGAAGGCGACUUCCUGGCCUGUAACUGACACUGAGGCGCGAAAGCGUGGGGAUCAAACAGGAUUAGAUACCCUGGUAGUCCACGCCGUAAACGAUGAGUGCUAGGUGUCGGGGGUAUCGACCCCCUCGGUGCCACAGCUAACGCAAUAAGCACUCCGCCUGGGGAGUACGGUCGCAAGACUGAAACUCAAAGGAAUUGACGGGGGCCCGCACAAGCGGUGGAGUAUGUGGUUUAAUUCGACGCAACGCGAAGAACCUUACCAAGGCUUGACAUCCCGUGACAGCCAUGGAAACUAGGGAGUGCCCUUCGGGGGCAGAGAUGACAGGUGGUGCAUGGUUGUCGUCAGCUCGUGUCGUGAGAUGUUGGGUUAAGUCCCGCAACGAGCGCAACCCUUGUGUUUAGUUGCCAACAGGUAGAGGCGAGCACUCUAGCAGAACUGCCGUUGACAAAACGGAGGAAGGUGGGGAUGACGUCAAAUCAUCAUGCCCCUUAUGUCUUGGGCUACACACGUACUACAAUGGCCUGAACAGAGGGAAGCAAAACUGCGAGGUGGAGCCAAUCCCACAAAGCCGUUCUC